AUGAUGUUAAUACUACAUCCUGUAAAAUAACUAUGGACCCUGAGCAGGAAACUGACAGGAUAGCCAGAGGGACCCCUUUACUGACAGGCUAUAGCAAAGUCCCCACAUACGGACACCUGUGGCUUCCUACUCACCUGCAGCAGAUUCUACAAUCACCUCUCCUGUCUUAAACCCCGGCUUUCCAACCAGUUUCUGCCAGAUCGUCCGUUUACCCAAAUACCCGCUUCAGUUCUGGAAGAACCAAGUUGUUUUUUGGACCAGCCUCUUGCCUGUCUGCCCACUCAGCCCCAGCCUCACAGAGGAUUUCAAAGCACCACUCCUACCUGUUGUUCUAUAAAACCCCUGUACCUGUUUCUAA